AGCGAACGCUGGCGGCAGGCCUAACACAUGCAAGUCGAACGAAGUCUUCGGACUUAGUGGCGGACGGGUGAGUAACACGUGGGAACGUGCCUUUAGGUUCGGAAUAACUCAGGGAAACUUGUGCUAAUACCGAAUGUGCCCUUCGGGGGAAAGAUUUAUCGCCUUUAGAGCGGCCCGCGUCUGAGUAGCUAGUUGGUGAGGUAAAGGCUCACCAAGGCUACGAUCAGUAGCUGGUCUGAGAGGAUGACCAGCCACAUUGGGACUGAGACACGGCCCAAACUCCUACGGGAGGCAGCAGUGGGGAAUCUCGCGCAAUGGGCGAAAGCCUGACGCAGCCAUGCCGCGUGGAUGAUGAAGGUCUUAGGAUUGUAAAAUCCUUUCACCGGUGAAGAUAAUGACUGUAGCCGGAGAAGAAGCCCCGGCUAACUUCGUGCCAGCCGCCGCAGUAAAAC
rnacentral:rRNA from 1 species